rnacentral:rRNA from 1 species
GUGGGGAAUAUUGCGCAAUGGGCGAAAGCCUGACGCAGCGACGCCGCGUGGGGGAUGAAGGCCUUCGGGUUGUAAACCCCUUUCAGUAGGGACGAAGCGAAAGUGACGGUACCUGCAGAAGAAGCGCCGGCUAACUACGUGCCAGCAGCCGCGGUAACACGUAGGGCGCAAGCGUUGUCCGGAAUUAUUGGGCGUAAAGAGCUCGUAGGCGGUUUGCUGCGUCCGCUGUGAAAAUCCAGGGCUCAACCCUGGACUUGCAGUGGAUACGGGCAGACUAGAGGUAGGUAGGGGAGAAUGGAAUUCCCGGUGUAGCGGUGAAAUGCGCAGAUAUCGGGAGGAACACCGGUGGCGAAGGCGGUUCUCUGGGCCUUACCUGACGCUGAGGAGCGAAAGCGUGGGGAGCGAACAGGAUUAGAAACCCCUGUAGUCC